rnacentral:rRNA from 1 species
CGAAGGUGGCGAGCGUUGUUCGGAAUCACUGGGCAUAAAGCGCACGUAGGCGGUGGCGUAAGUCGGGUGUGAAAUCCCUCGGCCUAACCGAGGAACUGCGCCCGAUACUGCGCUGCUUGAGGACCAGAGGGGUGCAUGGAAUUUCCGGUGGAGCGGUGAAAUGCGUUGAUAUCGGAAGGAACUCCGGCGGCGAAAGCGAUGCACUGGCUGGUUUCUGACGCUGAGGUGCGAAAGCCAGGGGAGCAAACGGGAUUAGAUACCCCGGUAGUCCUGGCCGUAAACGAUGGGUACUAGGUAGGGGGAUUUCAAACGUCUCUCUGCUGGAGCAAAUGUAUUAAGUACCCCGCCUGGGAAGUACAGUCGCAAGGCUG